UUGCUGCUAUGGUUGUUUUAGUAUUUCUGUAGUGAGAUUGCUAUAUCAAAGUGAAUGAACCGUUCACUAACUUUUCUUGCAUAAUUACAAUUUAUUUUCCAGACUGCUUAGAUUAGGUUGCAGUUGAUCAAUUAUAACUUACAAUUUUGUCUUCCCGUGACUCCUCCAACAGUGACUUUUUCCAACCUUUCCAAUUUGAUAAAUAUGAAGUGAUGCUGAAGCUAUAGUUCAUUUUUGGUCACAGCAACUUCUGAGUACAACAAUUAAGAAGUUGAGCUUUGUGAGCAUCAAGAGAGCAUAGACAGUGACGAAACCAUAGAUCCCAGAAUCACUGGUAAGAAGUGGAAGCUUAUGAAAAUGUUACAUACUAGGAGAUGAUUAUAAUAAUAAUUUAUAUAACAACUUGCAAAGCACUUACAGUAACUCUGAGAGGUUGGUAGUAUAAGUAGAACUAUACCCAUUUCACAGAUGAGGACACUGAGAAUCAGUGAUGUUUCAUGACAUACCCACAGUCAAAUGGCUGGCAAACAGAGUUAGGACUCAAACUUGGAUCUUCAGAUUCCAAGUCUAAUGAUCUCUCUGUUGCACCAUGUUGGCAAUGAUGACAAGCAUAUGGUGUCAGGGCAAGGCAUUUAGACAAGGAAAAAUCAGAAUCAGAACCAGUCACUGGCUAGAAGCCUGAUCCUCUUACAAUGAGGGGAAAGGCUUCAAGAAAUGUAUGAGCAACUGGUCGGGCUUCUUGCAGUCUGCUGUUCAACCAUGGGUGGGGUCAAGCUACAAAAGAUAGACCAGCUGGAAAUCCAGGAAGCUGAGUCAGGGAACUGUGCCUAGAGACUGGGAAGGGACAAACACAAAACAAGUCAGCCCGUCCAGCAGUCCCUGUGGCACAGCCAGGAUAGUGAAUUGGAAUAGGCUGCAAUCUCUGAUGCCAAAAAUGACACUUUCACCCUGCUGAAUGAGGCUGGCCUCAGUUUUCAUGAAGCUCUUCUGGAUUUUUUGGACAUAGACAACAGAGAUAGAGCAACAGUGAGCUGUGGAGUCUUGGAAGAGGAUAAACCACUGUCCAACAAGAGAAUAUACACAAUUAAGAAAGAGAAAAGAGCCUUUCCAUUAAUUAACAAGCUGGACUGGAGAAUGAGGCAAGAGGGCUAUUGAGAUCACACUGAUCCCAAGC
rnacentral:lncRNA from 1 species